CCUACGGGCGGCAGCAGUGGGGAAUAUUGGACAAUGGGCGAAAGCCUGAUCCAGCCAUGCCGCGUGUGUGAAGAAGGCCUUCGGGUUGUAAAGCACUUUCAGUGGGGAAGAAAGCCUUGGGGCUAAUACCCUCGAGGAAGGACAUCACCCACAGAAGAAGCACCGGCUAACUCCGUGCCAGCAGCCGCGGUAAUACGGAGGGUGCGAGCGUUAAUCGGAAUUACUGGGCGUAAAGCGCGCGUAGGCGGUCUGAUAAGCCGGUUGUGAAAGCCCCGGGCUCAACCUGGGAACGGCAUCCGGAACUGUCAGGCUAGAGUGCAGGAGAGGAAGGUAGAACUCCCGGUGUAGCGGUGAAAUGCGUAGAGAUCGGGAGGAAUACCAGUGGCGAAGGCGGCCUUCUGGACUGACACUGACGCUGAGGUGCGAAAGCGUGGGUAGCAAACAGGAUUAGAUACCCCUGUAGUC
rnacentral:rRNA from 1 species